rnacentral:snRNA from 1 species
GGUAAGAGGACACUAUGUCUGUAACUCUUUCACUCCACUGAUCACUGCAGUUGAUUCAGCUGACUUGGUCAGUCAGCAGAUGUCCCCUCUGUCCCUUACCACACCACAUCCAUCUCUCUACCCUUGAGGGUUUUUUUGUUUUUUUGUUUUAUGUCCUUUCCAGACAGAGAUGAGUCAUUCCACAAUCAAGGAUAAGAGUGUCUGUGGCACUUAAAGAUGGCCAUGAAUUCUUUCCUUCUUCUUCCAUUGAGAGAUGAGAUCUAAUUCUCCUCCCUUUUAAUCCGGGUCUGCCUUAGAGACUUACUUGACUGAUAGAAUAC